rnacentral:rRNA from 1 species
CCUACGGGAGGCAGCAGUGAGGAAUAUUGGUCAAUGGCCGAGAGGCUGAACCAGCCAAGUCGCGUGAGGGAAGACGGCCCUACGGAUUGUAAACCUCUUUUGUCGGGGAGCAAAGAGAGUCACGUGUGACUCAUUGAGAGUACCCGAAGAAAAAGCAUCGGCUAACUCCGUGCCAGCAGCCGCGGUAAUACGGAGGAUGCGAGCGUUAUCCGGAUUUAUUGGGUUUAAAGGGUGCGCAGGCGGAGGUGCAAGUCAGCGUUCAAAUUGCGGUGCUCAACCCCGUACUGCCGUCGAAACUGCAUCCC